UACGUAUGGUGCAAGCGUUAUCCGGAUUUACUGGGUGUAAAGGGAGCGUAGGCGGCCUCGCAAGUCUGAAGUGAAAACCCAAGGCUCAACCAUGGGAUUGCUUUGGAAACUGCAUGGCUAGAGUGUCGGAGAGGCAGGUGGAAUUCCUAGUGUAGCGGUGAAAUGCGUAGAUAUUAGGAGGAACACCAGUGGCGAAGGCGGCUUGCUGGACGAUUACUGACGCUGAUGCUCGAAAGCGUGGGGAGCAAAC
rnacentral:rRNA from 1 species